AUGAUCGAUUGUUUUGGUGUAACAGUGCCGGAGGCGUUUGAAGCAGGCGCAGGAAGCAAAUCCAAGCCAUGCGUCAGGUUCUUCAGUACCGCAGGUUGCCGCUUUGGUUCCAACUGCCACUUCAUCCACGACAUCCCGGGCGGCUCUCAGGCCGUUGCAGAAACGAGCAUCCCGAGUGGCCCAGCUCCAGCUCCAAAAAUAACAGAAUCGGAGUCAUUUCAAACCGGUGUAGGAAGCAAAUCGAAGCCAUGCACCAAAUUUUUCAGUAGUACUGGUUGCCCCUUUGGUGAGGGUUGCCAUUUCCUCCAUUACUUCCCCGGUGGCCACCAGGCUGUUGCAAAGAUGAGCAACCUGGGUGGCCAAGCAUUUGCACAACCCCAAGGAAGAAUGCCAGCAGGAUCUGCUGUUCCAGAUGGCCAACCUACACCAACUGUCAAGACUAAAUUGUGCAACAAGUAUAACACUGCGGAGGGAUGCAAAUGGGGUGAUAAGUGCCACUUUGCACAUGGUGAGAGGGAGCUCGGCAAGCACACGUUCAUCAACAAUUCCAUGCCACCCCGUAUGGGAACAAGGCCCAUCGGCCACUUUGGACCUCCGGCAAUGCCCGGCCCUGCCAUGACCACCCCAACAGGCUUCGGGGCUUCUUCCACAGCCAAGGUCAGUGUCGAUGCGUCCCUCGUAGGUGGCAUCAUCGGGCGGGGUGGAGUCAACACAAAGCAGAUAUCCGGAGUCACUGGGGCCAAGCUGGCCAUCCGGCUGGAGGAUCUCACCGCGGCGGCGGCGGCGGUGAGCAGGGAAGCAACUUCAAGACCAAGCUGUGCGACAACUUCACGAAAGGAUCGUGCACGUUUGGCGACAGAUGCCACUUUGCCCAUGGCGAGAACGAGCUGCGCAAAUCGGCUGCCGCGUGAGGUUGAUCUACCCACCCAUUAG
rnacentral:rRNA from 1 species